rnacentral:rRNA from 1 species
UACGAGGGGUGCAAGCGUUGCUCGGAAUUAUUGGGCGUAAAGGGUAGGUAGGUGGUCUCAUUUGUCUGGGGUGAAAGCCUUGGGCUUAACCCUGGAAAGGCCGUGGAAACUGAAGUGCUAGAGUGCAGUAGGGGUAGAGGGAAUUCCCGGUGUAGCGGUGAAAUGCGUAGAGCUCGGGAAGAACAUCGGUGGCGAAAGCGCUCUACUGGACUGCAACUGACACUGAGGGACGAAAGCUAGGGGAGCGAAUGGG